rnacentral:rRNA from 1 species
GAUGAACGCUGGCGGCGUGCCUAAUACAUGCAAGUCGAGCGAACAGACGAGGAGCUUGCUCCUCUGACGUUAGCGGCGGACGGGUGAGUAACACGUGGAUAACCUACCUAUAAGACUGGGAUAAUUUCGGGAAACCGGAGCUAAUACCGGAUAAUAUAUUGAACCGCAUGGUUCAAUAGUGAAAGACGGUUUUGCUGUCACUUAUAGAUGGAUCCGCGCCGCAUUAGCUAGUUGGUAAGGUAACGGCUUACCUAGGCAACGAUGCGUAGCCGACCUGAGAGGGUGAUCGGCCACACUGGAACUGAGACACGGUCCAGACUCCUACGGGAGGCAGCAGUAGGGAAUCUUCCGCAAUGGGCGAAAGCUUGACGGAGCAACGCCGCGUGAGUGAUGAAGGUCUUCGGAUCGUAAAACUCUGUUAUUAGGGAAGAACAAAUGUGUAAGUAACUAUGCACGUCUUGACGGUACCUAAUCAGAAAGCCACGGCUAACUACGUG